rnacentral:rRNA from 1 species
AGAGUUUGAUCCUGGCUCAGGAUGAACGCUAGCUACAGGCUUAACACAUGCAAGUCGAGGGGCAUCAGGAAGAAAGCUUGCUUUCUUUGCUGGCGACCGGCGCACGGGUGAGUAACACGUAUCCAACCUGCCCUUUACUCGGGGAUAGCCUUUCGAAAGAAAGAUUAAUACCCGAUAGUAUAAUGAUUCCGCAUGGUUUCCUUAUUAAAGGAUUCCGGUAAAGGAUGGGGAUGCGUUCCAUUAGGUUGUUGGUGAGGUAACGGCUCACCAAGCCUUCGAUGGAUAGGGGUUCUGAGAGGAAGGUCCCCCACAUUGGAACUGAGACACGGUCCAAACUCCUACGGGAGGCAGCAGUGAGGAAUAUUGGUCAAUGGGCGGUAGCCUGAACCAGCCAAGUAGCGUGAAGGAUGAAGGCUCUAUGGGUCGUAAACUUCUUUUAUAUAAGAAUAAAGUGCAGUAUGUAUACUGUUUUGUAUGUACCAUACGAAUAAGGAUCGGCUAACUCCGUGCCAGCAGCCGCGGUAAUACGGAGGAUCCGAGCGUUAUCCGGAUUUAUUGGGUUUAAAGGGAGCGUAGGCGGAUUAUUAAGUCAGUUGUGAAAGUUUGCGGCUCAACCGUAAAAUUGCAGUUGAUACUGGUAGUCUUGAGUGCAGCAGAGGUAGGCGGAAUUCGUGGUGUAGCGGUGAAAUGCUUAGAUAUCACGAAGAACUCCGAUUGCGAAGGCAGCUUACUGGACUGUAACUGACGCUGAUGCUCGAAAGUGUGGGUAUCAAACAGGAUUAGAUACCCUGGUAGUCCACACAGUAAACGAUGAAUACUCGCUGUUUGCGAUAUACAGCAAGCGGCCAAGCGAAAGCAUUAAGUAUUCCACCUGGGGAGUACGCCGGCAACGGUGAAACUCAAAGGAAUUGACGGGGGCCCGCACAAGCGGAGGAACAUGUGGUUUAAUUCGAUGAUACGCUAGGAACCUUACCCGGGCUUAAAU